CUAAAAUUCGUUUUUUUUCCACCUCAUUUUCAUUCUUGCAAUCAAACGGGUACUAAUUAUUCCUUCUCAUUUCCCUUCCCCUUUCUAAUCCACUUCCCUUCUAUCUCAAGCAAGUAAAAACAAAAUUGAAAAUAGUACCCACCCACGUUCUCUUCCUCUAUAUCCGCUCUCUUAUCUUACACGCACACACACACCCCUAAUCUCAGUUCUUCAAUAAUCUUGAUUUUUAGAACUGAAUUUAUUCCCUAAUUACUUCAAUCUUGUUUUCAGAUCAGUAAUGGCUUCAAAUAACAUUCAAAUUUUCUCUCUUUUUCUCUUGUUAACAUUCUUUCUCUCUAUAAACACAGUGUUAUCUGCAGAUCCAUCGGAAAAUUCCCCCAGUCCAUCUCCACAUCCACCAGCUGACGUCCUCUCGCCGCCGCCGGUUCUACCUCCAGAAACACCAUCGCAAUCACCAUCUCCUGCUCCUUCUCUCUCAAUUGCCUCCCCUCCUGCACCUCCGCCGUCAGAUCUCUCUCCAAGUUCCUCUCCAGCACCAUCUCCGGCAUUAACCAAUUCUUCUUCUCCUGAAAGGUCUCCGACACCGGCACCGGCACCUGCCGUAGCAGGCGACGAGGAGGUAAAUACGAGUAAUGUGGAGUUGGAGCGGGAUUCCUCCUCCGGCGGGAUGAACAGUGGGCAAAAAGCCGGUGUAGCAGUCGCAGUGGUUGCCGGAGCGUGUAUCGUUGUGGUCGGCGCGUUGGUGUACAAGAAGCGCCAGCAGAAUGUGCGCCGCUCGCAGUACGGAUCCGCCGCCAGGAGAGAAAUCCUAUAGAGCUGUGCAAAGAUUUCUAUAUCUACGUACCGUAUCAGACAUCUUUUGAUUCGUUACGUUCGUAAAUCUAUUUCUAGAUUUGUGGCAUUAUUGAUAUUGAGAGAAUUUUGGAAUUUGUUCGAUUCUUUUCUGCUUAAUAAUAAUAGUAAUAAUUCUUUAAUCAUAAUCUAAUUCUUAGUUAAUCACUGUAAUUUUGUUUGCUUAUUUGCUCAUGUGGAGGAGAAUGUUGUGCUUAUUUCAAAAUUUCAAUAAAAAUACGAUUUUACAUUGAGAAAAUAUAUUU
rnacentral:lncRNA from 1 species